AACGAACGCUGGCGGCAUGCCUAACACAUGCAAGUCGAACGAGACCUUCGGGUCUAGUGGCGCACGGGUGCGUAACGCGUGGGAAUCUGCCCUUGGGUUCGGAAUAACAGUUGGAAACGACUGCUAAUACCGGAUGAUGGCGUAAGUCCAAAGAUUUAUCGCCCAAGGAUGAGCCCGCGUAGGAUUAGCUAGUUGGUGAGGUAAAGGCUCACCAAGGCGACGAUCCUUAGCUGGUCUGAGAGGACGACCAGCCACACUGGGACUGAGACACGGCCCAGACUCCUACGGGAGGCAGCAGUGGGGAAUUUUGGACAAUGGGCGCAAGCCUGAUCCAGCAAUGCCGCGUGCAGGAUGAAGGCCUU
rnacentral:rRNA from 1 species